rnacentral:rRNA from 1 species
ACGGCUGCUCAGUAACACGUAGUCAACUUACCCUAUGGACGAGGAUAAUCUCGGGAAACUGAGCAUAAUACUCGAUAGAUCAUAAUGCCUGGAACGGUUUAUGGUUGAAAUGAUUCGUCGCCAUAGGAUAGGACCGCGGCCUAUCAGCUUGUUGGUGAGGUAAUGGCCCACCAAGGCGAUUACAGGUACGGGCUCUGAGAGGAGAAGCCCGGAGAUGGGUACUGAGACAAGGACCCAGGCCCUAUGGGGCGCAGCAGGCGAGAAAACUUUGCAAUGUGCGAAAGCACGACAAGGUUAAUCCGAGUGAUUUCCGCUAAAGAAAUCUUUUGCAAGUCAUAAAACCACUAGUGAAUAAGGGGUGGGCAAGUUCUGGUGUCAGCCGCCGCGGUAAAACCAGCACCUCAAGUGGUCAGGAGGAUUAUUGGGCCUAAAGCAUCCGUAGCCGGCUCUGUAAGUUUUCGGUUAAAUCCAUGUGCUCAACGCAUGGGCUGUCGAAAAUACUGCAUAGCUAGGGAGUGGGAGAGGUAGACGGUACUCGGUAGGAAGGGGUAAAAUCCUUUGAUCUAUCGAUGACCACCUGUGGCGAAGGCGGUCUACCAGAACACGUUCGACGGUGAGGGAUGAAAGCUGGGGGAGCAAACCGGAUUAGAUACCCGGGUAGUCCCAGCUGUAAACGAUGCAGACUCGAUGAUGCAUUGGCAUAUGGCCAGUGCAGUGUCGCAGGGAAGCCGUUAAGUCUGCCGCCUGGGAAGUACGUACGCAAGUAUGAAACUUAAAGGAAUUGGCGGGGGGAGCAG